GACGAACGCUGGCGGCGUGCUUAACACAUGCAAGUCGAACGGAAAGGCCCUGCUUGCAGGGUACUCGAGUGGCGAACGGGUGAGUAACACGUGGGUGAUCUGCCCUGCACUUCGGGAUAAGCUUGGGAAACUGGGUCUAAUACCGGAUAGGAGCCAUCUUUAGUGUGGUGGUUGGAAAGUUUUUUCGGUGUAGGAUGAGCUCGCGGCCUAUCAGCUUGUUGGUGGGGUAAUGGCCUACCAAGGCGGCGACGGGUAGCCGGCCUGAGAGGGUGUACGGCCACAUUGGGACUGAGAUACGGCCCAGACUCCUACGGGAGGCAGCAGUGGGGAAUAUUGCACAAUGGGCGCAAGCCUGAUGCAGCGACGCCGCGUGGGGGAUGAAGGCCUUCGGGUUGUAAACUCCUUUCGCUAGGGACGAAGCUUUUUUGUGACGGUACCUAGAUAAGAAGCACCGGCUAACUACG
rnacentral:rRNA from 1 species